rfam:Nicotiana attenuata strain TT chromosome 10, whole genome shotgun sequence.
CGAAAUUCAUACAUGCACUUAUGCACCAGAUCUUAUCAAAACUCCAAAGUAAAGUGUGAUUUGGUUAGAGUGGUACCGGGAUAAGAGAUCCUCUGGAAAGUCCUCGUGUUGUAUCCC